UCUGUAAAAAAGCAAAGAAAGAAUUUAAAUCGAAACGAUGAGUAAAUCAUUCAAUUGACGUCUUUUGUUUCCCCCGAUUCCCUAAAGAUCGCCAAUUCCUUUUGGGUUUGUUUUUCACUAACGGUAAUGAUUGAUUUCUCUUAAUUGGCAUGGGACAGUUCCAAAAAUGUCUCUCGUCGCUUGACAAACCUUUGCGACAGGGAAUUUCGGAAAUGGGCAAAUUGGGUUGUUUGUUUUGCACUCGAAAUACCUACGGGAUUAGCAGCUCUCGCACUAAUGAGGUUCCCAGACUCCCGCAGUGACGAAAAUUCCCUUUUUGAUUAUUUUGCAUUCGAGUGGGGGGGAAAAGCAGAAGUGUGGGCAGCAGAGCCAUCUAGGGUCCGUCUUUUGUUUCAACUGAAAUGAGGAGCUCCACUCGACAGGUGACAGCACAAUGCAACAACAAAAGCUCAAACUUGUUGCUACACACAACCGGUGUCGUUGUCUACUUUCGUUUACAUUAAGCAAAAAGAACCAGACAGGGGCGAGUGUGUUGAAAGGCCAGAGUAAGGAUGUCGUUGAUUUGACGACGGAUUCGAAUCGCAGAGUCAUCAACCCCCUUCAAUUUCAACGGUUCAAUCCAUUUGGACAUGUUGGGAAAGUGGGCGGAUCCCAAGAAGUUUUCGACGACAACAACAACAACAAAAAGAAUCAACAACUCCUCAGACUGUGUGUGUACCCAAUGAUGACCGGAUUAUAUUUUCAAAAGAGAGAAAAAAACUUCUUCUUCUCUCGUUGGGUAGUUGUUGGGAAGAAAACCAACUCCCCCCCUUCAUUCCCCCCCUCCGCCCCUUAGCGAGAAACAUUUUUCUUCUUAUUCGUUUGAGGGUUCCGGCCCAGUGGUCAAGUGAGAGGAGCUCCUCUCUCGUCGUUUCUCGGAUGUUUCGAUGCCCCAGUCGACCACGAGUGCCCAACUAGUUCUAGUCGGCCUUUCCAUCACGUUCCACGAAUAACGUGGAUCCACCAUCCGCACAGAUGUUAUUUGUGUUGUUGUUGUUAUUUCGAUCGUUCGAGUGCCGUCAUUCCUGAAAUUUGUUCCUCGAUAUCACGACGCCCCCAGCUGUUUAUCCAAAGUGUUAACAAUUCAAUAACGUUUCCUUCAACCCCACUCGACUGAUAUAUAAUCUCCCGACCGUCCGGCUGAAAAGGAGCUGCCGAAAAGUGUCAAUAAUCACCUGGAGAUUAUUCUGUGUGUGCGUGUCUGGUUCAAUCCGAGUGUGUGAGAGUCCUAUUGAUCUAUCGCAGGAGCGGAUAGUAUAGUCUGAUUUGUUACAAGUGUGAUGGAUGAGGAUGAAGCCAGCCAAGCGGCCUAUUGUUUGCUGGCCAUGUCAAGAGGCACCACCGCCAGUUCCAGUUCCAGCGAUCGACUCGGAUGCAAAGGUGAUUCAGCCUUGAGCGCAGCUUUAGGCCAUCAGACAGUGAUGGAGCAGCCAGCAACCAGCAGCAGCAACAGCAGCCCUUAUUCCACCGUGGCGGCUAUUGCUAUUCCAGCUGCUGCCGGUACUACUGCUGCUGCUGCUGCUCAAACAAGUUCAAACAGGAAUGCUGGUGUUGUUGUUGCUGCUGCUGCCGCCGCUGCCAUACAACCAGAGUCGCCGUUCAUGAUCGCCCGCAUUCUGACGGAUCUCACCCGCGUGCGUCAGGAUCUUUUCAGCGUUGAGCCCUUACAACAACCUCAAAUGCCUCCGUCCGCUUCCUGCAAGCCAUCCGGCCAGCGAAAUCAGAAUGCAGUACAGGGAGGCAGCGGCAGUAGUAAAUUGCACCAUUGUUCGUAUCCGGCAUGUGAACGAACCUACGGGAAGAGUUCCCAUCUCAAAGCUCACAUGAGAACUCACACCGGUGAACGCCCAUUCGGAUGCACCUGGCCGAGUUGCGAUAAGAGAUUCGCCCGGUCGGACGAGUUGGCACGUCACAUCAGAACACAUACGGGUGAAAAGCGGUUCACCUGCUCCGUGUGCCAAAAGAAAUUUACACGAUCAGAUCAUCUCAGCAAACAUGUGCGGAGACAUUCAAAGAUGGACGAAGGAUCGCCGAAGAGCCGGCGCAUCAAACCAGCGGAUAACAAGAUGAUCAUCAGCGUAAGCCCAACGGCGUCGCUCGAUUCCAGCGAUGGAUGCAGCACAAAUCAAUCGUUCGUUUCUUACAGUUCCGAGAAGGAUGCGACUAGGUAGAAAUGACGUGUGCCAAAGCAUCAAAUACUUUUAAAUCAGAAUUCGAUCAAAUUUCGAUUCUAAAUGUAUUCAGGAUUUUUAAUUGUUAUUUCGCCUCAUUUCGGUACAAGGUUUUUCAAAACAUUAACUAACUAAGAUUUCGUGUUUACCUCGAUUGUUUUUCCCAUUUGUUUCUCUCGUUUUCUUAUAUAAUUGGUCGUAUUUUUUAAAAUGGUGAAAUUGUAAUAUUAGUUUAAGCAGUUGGAGUCUAACGAAAGCACACUGCGUUGCUUCUGGUGAGAAUACAUUCGAUUUUUCUUAAAAGUUUCCUUUUGAAAAAGAAAAUAACGCCUCAUGUUAUCGAACGUUUUUCUUCGAAUUCACUAAUUAUUUCUUCGAAAAACGAUAAAGAAAUGAACAAACUAUGGAUGCCUUUUUAUCAGCAAAGGUCGUCGGGUACUGUUCUUUGUUAUUCGUUAACCAGUUUACUCAACAGUGACCAUUCAGAUCGCCGGUAAUUCAAAUAAAGAAUACCACCCUUUUUUGUAAUAACUUUUUUUCUUACUUUCAUACAGAAUGACUGAUAAAGAAUGACACACGAUCUGGGAACUGUUUUAUUGAAAUCUUUGACGGGAGAAACCACACCAGAUGUUCUUUGUCGGACGACUACAUGUCACAGCGUCAAUAACUUUGAAUACUGUACGUGUGAAACCAUUUUUUCAGUCACUCGUAGGUUUUCCCAAUAGCGACGAAGCAACGUCCGAUAAGAUGGCGUUGUCCCCUGCUGAGUGAAUCGGGAAUCGAUGGGUCCUUGUUUGUUUUUUUGUCACACCCUUUUUAUUGAUAUGCAAAUCGAUCGGACGUUGUAGAGAAGAUGACGGCGGAUGUCAACGCCACAUACGGUGAAAGGUUGUUUGGAUUUGUGCCUUACCCUGGUUCACGCUCGUCAUUUAUUGCGCUGUACACGGGGACGUAAUGAGACUGUUGCCGAUCUUCAGGCGGGGUUAAUCGUACAAACUGACCGACACAACUUCGGAGCGUGAAAUCUGCUAGUCAGAGUCACCAGGGUGUUAUGACCUACGAUCUUUAUGAUUAACGUCCUUUAUAGCAUAGUAGACCGGGAGGUGAAUGGAGACGUAGAUUCAAUGGACCUUAUAUGGUGAUUGAGCAACAUACAAUUGAACAUGGGUCUUUUGGGUGAUGGCCCCGUUUAGCGAUGAGUGCGCAUCUCGAUGGGAAUUGAAUCGAUCCCGUACAUUGUCAAUUAAUGAACUAUCCGGUUUAACAGUUGAGGAGCUGCGCUUUACUCCUAGUGUAUUUCCGGGAGGAUUGCCAUUUGUUUCAAGUCUUUAUCAAAGCGUUAAAUAAAUUCACGUUUGGUUUUUAA
rnacentral:misc_RNA from 1 species